GCGCCACUAGCUCAAUUGGAUAGAGCGUCUGACUACGGAUCAGAAGGUUGGGGAUUCGAGUUCCUCGUGGCGCGCCA
rnacentral:tRNA from 2 species